rnacentral:lncRNA from 1 species
AGAAGCCUUUUCCUGUAAACGCUGGGCAGCAUCUCGUGCUAUCCCCGACUGGUUAGUGUAAAAACAACACUCUUCCCCUAAGAAGGUGCAGAGUCCUCCUUUCUCAGCAGUGAGGAGGUCUAGGCCUCGGUGGUUUUAGAGAGUCACUGCUGCCAAAGAGUCUAUUUGGGAUUAUAAAGCAAGGAUAGAUUUCGUUAUUUCUUGCAAACUGUCUGAGAGGCAGAUAUGGGUUGAAGAUCCACAUAAGUAGAAUAUGCCUUGGCUGGGUAGAUAGACAUUUACCCUGGCUUUUAAAGGAAUAGGGUACACUGUUUUUUCUUUACUACUUACAUCUCUCUCUUUCUCUCUUCGACUUCUCCUUUGUCUCUUCCUCUCUUUUUAACUCUCUCUCUGACUUCCUGUGUCUGUCCCUCUUUCUCUCUGACUCCUUCUUUAUCUCUUCCUCUCUGUCUCUUUCUUUGACUUCCUGUCUCUUUCUUUCCUUUCUGCUGCCUCUGCCAGCUGCUUAUGCUGCUGUUCUCCCCUCUCCUUCCCAUUUUGAUGGCUUUGUCAGUGUAAGAGCAUGAGGUAACUUUCAGUGCCCUAAUAUAUAUGUAGUUGGAAUCUCUAAAGACAUGGAGAGAGGCAGGAAACAAAAAUCGAAAUAAAGCCAAAAUUUCUCCAAACUUGAUGAAAACUAUAAACUCACAGAUCCAAGAAGCUUAAUGAACCCUCAAACACAAGAAGAAGAAAAAUACAAGACUCCGUCUCAAACAACAAGAAGGAAGAAAAGAAAAAAACUGAAAGAACAAUAGCUCAACCUAGAAUUCUGUACACAGUGAAAAUAUAUUUCCAAAACAAAGACAAAGUAAAGACUUUCAAACAUAAAGCUGAAUUUAUUACCAAAAGACCAGCAUUACAAGAAAUACUAAAGAAAAUCCU